AAUGACACAGAGCACUGUGAUUGGAUGGAUUUGAAAUCCAUCCAAUCACAGUGCUCUGUGUCAUU